UACGUAGGGGGCUAGCGUUGUCCGGAAUCAUUGGGCGUAAAGCGCGCGUAGGCGGUUCGGUAAGUCCGCUGUGAAAGUCGGGGGCUCAACCCUCGGAUGCCGGUGGAUACUGUCGAGCUUGAGUACGGAAGAGGCGAGUGGAAUUCCUGGUGUAGCGGUGAAAUGCGCAGAUAUCAGGAGGAACACCAAUUGCGAAGGCAGCUCGCUGGGACGUUACUGACGCUGAGACGCGAAAGCGUGGGGAGCAAACAGG
rnacentral:rRNA from 1 species